GCCUGGGUGGCUCAGCUGAUUGAGCGUCUGACUUCGGCUCAGGUCAUGAUCUCGCGGUCCUGGGUUCGAGCCCCAUGUCAGGCU
rnacentral:tRNA from 1 species